rnacentral:lncRNA from 1 species
AUCCCGUGAGAUCAGGCGUGAGCCCAAGCAUCAAGUCAUAGCAUACCAUGAAGCUCCCACGUCCAUCCGGAUCCACAUGAUCAACUCCCUUCCUAAGAUCCAGCCACUUGCGAGCCGACCGUCCGUUCCGAGCCGCAUCCAAGGAUCCAGCCGUCUCAGCCCGGAUGACCGCCUAUCCUGUGAUCGUGCCCAGCAUCCAUUUCUCUUCCCGUAAUCCCAGCGUCCGACUGCAAGCGUGAUCCAAGCAUCGCAUCCAGCCGCCCGUUUCUCUUCCCAACGGUCCCACAACAUCCCUCUUCCGAGUUCCAGCUCCUUCCCGUGAUCCCAGCCUCCACCACGUCUGUGAUCUUCUUCUUCCGCCCGUCCCAGCCACUCGUGAAGCCAUCCAAUCUUCUAUUCCCAGCCCACAGCAUCCCGUGGCAUCUUCCAUCUUCAGCUCAUCUUCUUCCGUCCACCUCA